GUUGCUUCUGUUCUGGAAGAGUGGCUUCCACUGGAGUCAUUCUGUAGUGAGAAGCAUAUAUUUAAUUUGGCCAGUGUUAAACAGCAUGAUGUUAUAGAAUAGCAUUAUGUUACCUGUCUCCUGGUAAAUUA
rfam:Musa acuminata subsp. malaccensis Doubled-haploid Pahang (DH-Pahang) genomic chromosome, chr11